UACGUAGGGUGCGAGCGUUAAUCGGAAUACUGGGCGUAAAGCGUGCGCAGGCGGUGAUGUAAGACAGAUGUGAAAUCCCCGGGCUCAACCUGGGAACUGCAUUUGUGACUGCAUCGCUGGAGUGCGGGCAGAGGGGGAUGGAAUUCCGCGUGUAGCAGUGAAAUGCGUAGAUAUGCGGAGGAACACCGAUGGCGAAGGCAAUCCCCUGGGCCUGCACUGACGCUCAUGCACGAAAGCGUGGGGGAGCAAACAGG
rnacentral:rRNA from 1 species